rnacentral:misc_RNA from 1 species
GCCCCAAGGAAAAAAGAUGAUAUGGUUGUUUAUAAUGUUCAAAUAAAUAUCUAAACAACAAAAUGUGGGUGAAUCCUACAGUCUCAAAGCCUCAUAAAGCUUAAUUCGAGCUUUAAUUUAUUCAUUCUCAGAAGGCACAGUUACAAAAUAUGGAGCCUACAAAUCAAUUGUCUUUCCUGAAAAGCUAAUGCUGAAAAACCUAAUCCAUAAUCAGGCAUUAAGGGCAUCAAGUUGCUUCCUGAGUUCUUCAAGGUCAUCAAUAGUAGCUGUAGUUGUAUCAGCAUCUGGGAGCUUCUGAAACUCGUCUGCACUUGGAAGCUCAUGUGUAAGACCUUCGGGGAGCGCAUCUGCAGGACCUGAACCUGUGGCAUAUGUAUUUUCCAGCUCACUAUCAUCAACAACACUUAUGUUCCACUCAUUAUCAGCAUGAAGUGGGAUCUCUGUAGCUAACAAUGCUUCUGCCUCCAUUUUGGUUUUAGCUGCAGCAUCCCUAGCUGGCUUUGCAAGGAUAUACUCUUUCUGACGCUCCAAACAAGCUGCAUUUGAACAUUGAGGAUUUGGCCUCAUUUCCAUGGUUGGGAAAUAAUCUUUGAGAGAAUUGUAUCCCAGGUAUAGAGAUACAUGUCCAAAUUGUAACAGGAGCUUCAGUGUAUUUUGAACUAAAAGCCCAGCGACAACUCCCAUCGUGGUAGGCAAAGAUGCUGCACAAACCCCCUCACGCUUGAGUGUCCGCUCAUCCACACCAGAUGCUACAACAAGAGGAGGUGCACAUGCAAAACAAGCAGUUUCUCCAGGAAUCAACAGUUGUAUAUGACCAGAAACAGCAUCUUCAGAUACACCAGACUCCAUCCAUGUUUGAUUCAACUCAUUACAAGCCUGGUUAACAGCCAUCCUUGCUUCAUAAUUAUCCACACAGCUUAAAACAAGAUCUACUCCACUACCUUCUUUAGCUGGACGAAAAUAUUUAUUUUUCAAACUUGACAUGAAGGUUUCAAACCCUUGCACUGUUGUGAUGUUCAGUGUAUAGCUCUCAAGCACAACAUCAGGAUUUAUGUCUGACAGGGUCUGAACAGCAGCAUCAGUCUUCGUCAUGCCAACCUGUUCCGGACGAAAAAAAAGUCUAUUCAUGUUGGCCAACUCCACUCUGUCAUAAUCAUACAACAAAAGACGACCUAUUCCACAUCUUGUUAGCAUUUCAGCUGCAACACUGCCAACACCACCAAUUCCAACAAUGGCAACAGAGAACUCCCGAAUUCUCUCAUAGUUCUGCACAAUACCCAUCCUUUGAAGCGCCAUGAGCCUACUAUAAGGAUUGCUAUCCACAACCUCGGCACUCAUAUCCUUGACUUUUGAACGCCGAACAGGUUCAGACUUUGCCAACGUUGUGAGAUGUUCAAUACGCGACUGCAGCUUAUCGAUUGGAGCGUGAUGAGAUGGAUCAAGCAAUGAAUGCUUAAGAGAAUCGAGAUCAUUUAGCACCUGUUUCAAUUCCGCCUCCAUUACUAGCUGCUUCUUCUGAGCUAAGCUAAAUUCUUCUUCUUCUUCUUCUGCUACAUCACGGCGAUCGCAUCUAUGCAUCCCCUCAAUUAG